rnacentral:rRNA from 1 species
UGCAAGUCGAGGGGCAGCAUGAGGUAGCAAUACCUUGAUGGCGACCGGCGCACGGGUGAGUAACGCGUAUGCAACCUGCCCGAUACCGGGGUAUAGCCCAUGGAAACGUGGAUUAACACCCCAUAAUACUUUAAUUCUGCAUGGGAUUUAAGUUAAAUUUUUAAGGUAUCGGAUGGGCAUGCGUCCUAUUAGUUAGUUGGCGGGGUAACAGCCCACCAAGACGAUGAUAGGUAGGGGUUCUGAGAGGAAGGUCCCCACAUUGGAACUGAGACACGGUCCAAACUCC